AUUUUUGAUGGAAUAUUUACAUGGAUUGUGCCUAACUAGGUCAAGAAUAUAUGAUCCACAAAUGACAAUGCCAAAUAGACUCCCUCCUGUUCUCAUAACAUACUGAAGUUGAGGUUUCACUGGACCUCAAGCCAUUCCUCUUGCUGCCCAUCACCCAGAAACUAAUGUUUGGCCUGAAGGAAGAAUCAUGGUAAAACAUCCAAAAUCAUCAAGUCUUUCCCUGGACAAACAGGAAGGUGCGCCGAGCUCUUGGAGAAGUUGCUGAACAUCCUAAAGACUUUUGGGCAGAUGAUGACAGAUAUCCUCCUAAUGCUUAACUGCGAUAAGCGAAGCAAGAAACACUUUGUGGUAUCGGUGUCAAGUACAUAUAAUCUCAACCUAAAAGAGGAAAACCACUGGGCAAAUCCAAAUUCAGAGACAUUCUUGCAAGGUGAAGAAUGGAGUAUCCACAAAUGACAAUACCAAAUAUACUCCCUCCUGUUCUUAUGAGCCUAUUGAGGUUGAGGUUUUACUGGAACUCAAGCCAUUCUUCUCCCUUCUCAUCAUCCUGUAUCUAUUGUUUGGCUUGAAGAAAGUAUCAUUGUAAAACAUCCAAAAGCCUGAAGUCUCACCCUUGGAACACAGGAAGCAAAACUCUCAAAUAUCAUCCUGGGUGACGAUGUAGAUUAGACCCAUCAGAUGAAAUGAAGAAUUGAAAAACUCUCCUGGGGAUGAUAAUGGUAAGGAAAUCACAUUGAUGUAUCAUAAAUGCAGUGCCAAGAGCAAUAUUAAUACUAGUCUGGGGAGAUGCUGCCUUUAUCAGAGACCACAGACCUUUAGUUUAGAAUGAUUCAGUACUAAACUGGGAAUGGAAAAUGAUGGUUGAUAUGGUUCUAACAGAUCUCAUAACAUUAAAAAGGGUCUCUUCCAGAUCAGAGAAUGAUUAUUGUAAAGCAACUUCCAGAAUAAACUUAUGAGACCCACCAUCAGCCUGUGAAAUA